CAAUAGCGUAUAUUAAAGUUGUUGCAGUUAAAAAGCUCGUAGUUGGAUUUCUGGAUCGAACGCUUCGUCCGCCGCUGUGCGGUGUGUACUGAGGUUUUGUUUCGAUUCAUCCUUGCAGGGAAGCGAGUUCGAGAUUAAUUUGUCGGCUCGGGGAACUGCAUCUUUUACUGUGAAAAAAUUAGAGUGUUUAAAGCAGGCAUUUUGCCGUGAAUACAUUAGCAUGGAAUAAUAACAUAGGACUUUGGUUCUAUUUUGUUGGUUGGAGGCCAAGGUAAUGAUUAAUAGGGACAGUUGGGGGUAUUCAUAUUUAAUUGUCAGAGGUGAAAUUCUUGGAUUUAUGAAAGAUGAACUCAUGCGAAAGCAUUUACCAAGGAUGUUUUCAUUAA
rnacentral:rRNA from 1 species